GGCCAAGUUUUUAAGGGCGCACGGUGGAUGCCUUGGCACCAGGAACCGAUGAAGGACGUGGGAGGCCACGAUAGUCCCCGGGGAGUCGUCAACCAGGCUUUGAUCCGGGGGUUUCCGAAUGGGGAAACCCGGCAGUCGUCAUGGGCUGUCACCCUUGUCUGAACACAUAGGGCAAGUGGAGGGAACGCGGGGAAGUGAAACAUCUCAGUACCCGCAGGAAGAGAAAACAACCGUGAUUCCGGGAGUAGUGGCGAGCGAAACUGGAUGAGGCCAAACCGUAUACGUGUGAGACCCGGCAGGGGUUGCGUAUGCGGGGUUGUGGGAUCUCUCUUUCACAGUCUGCCGGCUGUGAGACGAGUCAGAAACCGUUGAUGUAGGCGAAGGACAUGCGAAAGGUCCGGCGUAGAGGGUAAGACCCCCGUAGUCGAAACAUCAGCGGCUCGUUUGAGAGACACCCAAGUAGCACGGGGCCCGAGAAAUCCCGUGUGAAUCUGGCGGGACCACCCGCUAAGCCUAAAUAUUCCCUGGUGACCGAUAGCGGAUAGUACCGUGAGGGAAUGGUGAAAAGUACCCCGGGAGGGGAGUGAAAUAGUACCUGAAACCGUGUGCCUACAAGCCGUGGGAGCGUCGGACAUCAGCUUGCUGAUGUCUCGUGACUGCGUGCCUUUUGAAGAAUGAGCCUGCGAGUUUGCGGUGUGUUGCGAGGUUAACCCGUGUGGGGAAGCCGUAGCGAAAGCGAGUCCGAAUAGGGCGGUAUAGUAGCGCGCUCAAGACCCGAAGCGGAGUGAUCUAGCCAUGGGCAGGUUGAAGCGGAGGUAAGACUUCGUGGAGGACCGAACCCACCAGGGUUGAAAACCUGGGGGAUGACCUGUGGUUAGGGGUGAAAGGCCAAUCAAACUCCGUGAUAGCUGGUUCUCCCCGAAAUGCAUUUAGGUGCAGCGUCGUGUGUUUCUUGCCGGAGGUAGAGCACUGGAUAGGCGAUGGGCCCUACCGGGUUACUGACCUUAGCCAAACUCCGAAUGCCGGUAAGUGAGAGCGCGGCAGUGAGACUGUGGGGGAUAAGCUCCAUGGUCGAGAGGGAAACAGCCCAGAGCAUCGACUAAGGCCCCUAAGCGUACGCUAAGUGGGAAAGGAUGUGGAGUCGCAGAGACAACCAGGAGGUUGGCUUAGAAGCAGCCACCCUUGAAAGAGUGCGUAAUAGCUCACUGGUCUAGUGAUUCCGCGCCGACAAUGUAGCGGGGCUCAAGCGUACCGCCGAAGUCGUGUCAUUGCGAUAUGUACCCCCAACGGGGAUCGUGAUGGGUAGGGGAGCGUCGUGUGCCGGGUGAAGCCGCGCCGGAAGGCAGUGGUGGACGGUUCACGAGUGAGAAUGCAGGCAUGAGUAGCGAUUCACACGUGAGAAACGUGUGCGCCGAUUGACUAAGGGUUCCUGGGUCAAGCUGAUCUGCCCAGGGUAAGUCGGGACCUAAGGCGAGGCCGACAGGCGUAGUCGAUGGAUAACCGGUUGAUAUUCCGGUACCCGCUGUGAAGCGUCAAACAUCGAAUCCAGUGAUGCUAAGCCCGUGAAGCCGCCGGCUGAGUCUUCGGACGAGGUCGGAGUGGUGGAGCCGGUGACCCGAGCUGGUAGUAGGUGAGUGAUGGGGUGACGCAGGAAGGUAGUCCAUCCCGGGCGGUGGUUGUCCCGGGGUAAGGGUGUAGGACGUCAGGUAGGCAAAUCCGCCUGACAUGUGUCUGAGACCUGAUGCCGAGCCGAUUGUGGUGAAGUGGAUGAUCCUAUGCUGUCGAGAAAAGCCUCUAGCGAGUUUCAUGGCGGCCCGUACCCUAAACCGACUCAGGUGGUCAGGUAGAGAAUACCGAGGCGUUCGGGUGAACUAUGGUUAAGGAACUCGGCAAAAUGCCCCCGUAACUUCGGGAGAAGGGGGGCCACACCUGGUGAGGGAAUUUUCUUCCUGAGCUGGGGGUGGCCGCAGAGACCAGCGAGAAGCGACUGUUUACUAAAAACACAGGUCCGUGCGAAGCCGUAAGGCGAUGUAUACGGACUGACGCCUGCCCGGUGCUGGAACGUUAAGGGGACCGGUUAGCUCCAUUUCGGUGGGGCGAAGCUGAGAACUUAAGCGCCAGUAAACGGCGGUGGUAACUAUAACCAUCCUAAGGUAGCGAAAUUCCUUGUCGGGUAAGUUCCGACCUGCACGAAUGGCGUAACGACUUCUCGACUGUCUCAACCAUAGGCCCGGUGAAAUUGCACUACGAGUAAAGAUGCUCGUUUCGCGCAGCAGGACGGAAAGACCCCGGGACCUUUACUACAGUUUGAUAUUGGUGUUCGGUUCGGCUUGUGUAGGAUAGCUGGGAGACUGUGAACUCUGGACGCCAGUUCAGGGGGAGUCGUCGUUGAAAUACCAGUCUGGUCGUGCUGGAUGUCUAACCUGGGUCCGUGAUCCGGAUCAGGGACAGUGUCUGAUGGGUAGUUUAACUGGGGCGGUUGCCUCCUAAAGAGUAACGGAGGCGCCCAAAGGUUCCCUCAGCCUGGUUGGCAAUCAGGUGUUGAGUGUAAGUGCACAAGGGAGCUUGACUGUGAGACCGACGGGUCGAGCAGGGACGAAAGUCGGGACUAGUGAUCCGGCGGUGGCUUGUGGAAGCGCCGUCGCUCAACGGAUAAAAGGUACCCCGGGGAUAACAGGCUGAUCUUCCCCAAGAGUCCAUAUCGACGGGAUGGUUUGGCACCUCGAUGUCGGCUCGUCGCAUCCUGGGGCUGGAGUCGGUCCCAAGGGUUGGGCUGUUCGCCCAUUAAAGCGGUACGCGAGCUGGGUUUAGAACGUCGUGAGACAGUUCGGUCCCUAUCCGCUGCGCGCGCAGGAAUAUUGAGAAGGGCUGUCCCUAGUACGAGAGGACCGGGACGGACGAACCUCUGGUGUGCCAGUUGUUCUGCCAAGGGCAUGGCUGGUUGGCUACGUUCGGGAGGGAUAACCGCUGAAAGCAUCUAAGCGGGAAGCCUGCUUCGAGAUGAGUAUUCCCACCCACUUGAUGGGGUAAGGCUCCCAGUAGACGACUGGGUUGAUAGGCCGGAUCUGGAAGCACGGUAACGUGUGGAGGUGACCGGUACUAAUAGGCCGAGGGCUUGUCCUC
rnacentral:rRNA from 1 species